GACGAACGCUGGCGGCGUGCUUAACACAUGCAAGUCGAACGGAAAGGCCCUGCUUUUGUGGGGUGCUCGAGUGGCGAACGGGUGAGUAACACGUGAGUAACCUGCCCUUGACUUUGGGAUAACUUCAGGAAACUGGGGCUAAUACCGGAUAGGAGCUCCUGCUGCAUGGUGGGGGUUGGAAAGUUUCGGCGGUUGGGGAUGGACUCGCGGCUUAUCAGCUUGUUGGUGGGGUAGUGGCUUACCAAGGCUUUGACGGGUAGCCGGCCUGAGAGGGUGACCGGCCACAUUGGGACUGAGAUACGGCCCAGACUCCUACGGGAGGCAGCAGUGGGGAAUAUUGCACAAUGGGCGGAAGCCUGAUGCAGCAACGCCGCGUGCGGGAUGACGGCCUUCGGGGUGUAAACCGCGUUCGCCUGUGACGAAGCGUGAGUGACGGUAAUGGGUAAAGAAGCACCGGCUAACUACGUG
rnacentral:rRNA from 1 species